rnacentral:RNase_P_RNA from 1 species
CAAAGGAUGGUGGCGGCCGCCCCCCUUACAGGGGGGAGGAAAGUCCGGACCCCGCAGGGCAGGAAGGUCGCUAACGGCGACCGUUCCGACCAACCGUCGGAAUAGGGACAGGGCCACAGAAAAGAUACCGCCCUUCCGGCAGGCUUCGCUUGUCGAAGGGUAAGGGUGAAAAGGUGGGGUAAGAGCCCACCAGUUGCACGGGUGACCGUGGAAGCUUGGUAACCCCCUUUCGGGGCAAGGCCUAAUAGGUUUCACAGAUAAGGGUUGCCCGCCCUUUUCCCCAUCUUAAUGGGGAGGUGAAACGGGUUGGCCGCUCGACCCUGAUGGCAACAUCAGGGCUAGAUAAAUGGUCGCCAUCUGCCUCCGGAACCUCCGAAGGUGGAGACAGAAUCCGGCUUAUACCAUCCUUUGGCAU